GGCGGGAUCCAGGGGGCGAGGCCCGAGGCCGUGGGGUCCAGGCAUUUCUUUUCCUCCCACUCAGGGGCUGCCAGGGCCCAAAGGGGAGCGAGGAGAGAAGGGUGAGCCACCGUCCCUGGCCACCAUCUACCAGCUCGUGGGCCAGGCCUGUGAAUCUGCCAUCCAGGCGCACGUGCUGAAGCUCCACUCCUGCUCCCACGAGGGCACCAGGCCGCCCAUGCCCAUCCUGGAGGCGCCCAGGGCCCUCGGCAUGCGCAGCGAGGCCCGGCUCCCUGGAGGAGGGGGGCACGGUGGCCCCCGCCCCGAGGACAGAGGACGGUCCCCCUGCUGCCCCGAGUGAGCCAGACCUUCCCCCCAGAUCCCGGACACGGGGUGCAGCUGGAGCAGCCUGGACGUGGAGGGACAGGGGAUGGAGGCCGAGCCUUGAAACCUCUUCUCUGCCCGUUUCCUGUGCAGAUAAACAAGCACUUGUCAAGGAAGUGGCUGCUUGUUACUAGGGCCCCACGGUCCUGGCCAGUGCGGCCCAGAUCCGCACCCUUGUCCCUCGGGGGGUGGCCACCCCCCGGCUUUGGCUCAAGGACCCUCCACCACGGUCUCUCUGUAAGCCUGAGACUCAUCCCCCUUCCCACAAGGCCCCCGCAGUCCCCAGGCCCUGUUGCCACCCAGCCCGGCCCCUCCAGGCCUCCGUCCCCGCUCAAGGGGGCUCAGCCUCCAGUGCACCUUUAUUUGGCGGCACCUGAGACGUGCUGAAUUCCUGGGCCAGGGAUGGAACCCUCACCUGAGCUGCUGCAGUGACAACAUGUGUCCUUAACCCGCUGCGCCUCAUGGGAAUUCUGGGGGCACCUGGAGUCAUUGGGGGGGGGGACUUUGAGAACGGGACUGGCCCAUCCUCCGAUGCUCCAGCCAGGACUCCCCCAGUGGUGGCCUCUCCUCUAAAGUUGUCACGUCCAGCUCAGCCCCGAGCGCUCAGGCUCCUGGGACCCCAACCUGCUGCCCCCUGGCCUUGUCACUGCCUAGUGCCCCGCCUCCUCCCCCGACCAGCCUGGACGCCAGAGUCAGUGCUGUGACCGCUCCCCCGGCCGUCCCGCCCGCUUGGGACGCCGCCAG
rnacentral:lncRNA from 1 species